GUGAUCGCUUGGGCAGCACAUAUACUAAAAUUGGACCCAUAACAGAGAUUAGCCUGGCCCCUUGCAAGGAUGAUGUGUUGACUGACCCACAGGCCUUAAUGAUUC
ensembl:snRNA U6 U6 spliceosomal RNA